rnacentral:rRNA from 1 species
UACGUAGGCAGCAAGCGUUGUUCGGAGUUACUGGGCGUAAAGGGUGCGUAGGCGGUUGUUUAAGUUUGGUGUGAAAUCUCCCGGCUCAACUGGGAGGGUGCGCCGAAUACUGAAUGACUAGAGUGCGGGAGAGGAGAGUGGAAUUCCUGGUGUAGCGGUGAAAUGCGUAGAUAUCAGGAGGAACACCGGUGGUGUAGACGGCUCUCUAGACCGUAACUGACGCUGAGGCACGAAAGCGUGGGUAGCAAACAGG